GACGAACGCUGGCGGCGUGCCUAAUACAUGCAAGUUGAGCGCUGAAGGUUGGUACUUGUACCAACUGGAUGAGCAGCGAACGGGUGAGUAACGCGUGGGGAAUCUGCCUUUGAGCGGGGGACAACAUUUGGAAACGAAUGCUAAUACCGCAUAAAAACUUUAAACACAAGUUUUAAGUUUGAAAGAUGCAAUUGCAUCACUCAAAGAUGAUCCCGCGUUGUAUUAGCUAGUUGGUGAGGUAAAGGCUCACCAAGGCGAUGAUACAUAGCCGACCUGAGAGGGUGAUCGGCCACAUUGGGACUGAGACACGGCCCAAACUCCUACGGGGGGCAGCAGUAGGGAAUCUUCGGCAAUGGACGAAAGUCUGACCGGGCAACGCCGCGUGAGUGAAGAAGGUUUUCGGAUCGUAAAACUCUGUUGGUAGAGAAGAACGUUGGUGAGAGUGGAAAGCUCAUCAAGUGACGGUAACUACCCAGAAAGGGACGGCUAACUACGUG
rnacentral:rRNA from 1 species